GGGGCACUGCUGAAAAUCCCGCCAUACACAAGACAACUCCCCACCAUGUGGACCUAUCCAGCCCCCAAAUAUUAACAGGGCGUCUUGGGACCACCAGCGUGCUGCCGGGGAGCCAACUUCUGCCUGGUCAGCUAACUCCACGGUCCCAGGGCCCGGGGAAUAGCGAGGAGUGGCUGGAGACUGGCGCAUGCCAUCCCCUCUCAUGGCGCGAUGCUGCCUGAUCAGAAAGCCGCUGCUAACAGCUGGAGAACAUCCCUGCCCGUGUCUCGGUGGAAAUACACGCCAAUAAAUCCAUGUUUCCAACUCC